CCGUGGAACAGGGAAAACACUUCCCGGCAGUGGUUGGCCUAGAGGUAGUAACUACGAGGUGGAGGGGUGGGAGUGCUCUGCUUCCUGUAGCCACUCCAUACCAUCAGCGACGUCGGGUCUCUUGGGAUCUCAGCCACCGUCGGAAGGGACCGUCGCCGACGAGGAGAUGGGAUUCCUGAUGCAGCCAAUUAAAAGAUUCACGGUGCUUGAGGAGGUCAAUAAUAGCGAUGUCCCGAUGGCUCCGCUGCAUUACCUUGUCGGCGCCACUGCGUCGGGCGAGCUGCAGCACGCGCAAGCCCUAGAGCUGAGCAUGGACGGACAAAUUUGUGCGACCCAAGCUGUGGUGGUGGCAGAAAGGGAAAUUUCACCCCAAAAGGCUUGAUUAAUGAACCUAGAAAAUCCCUCGAAUUGGAUCCGACUAAGCGUCCGGGCUCUCCACCCGCAAGAUCCCAAUGUUGUAAGCAACUCCUGAAGAUCUCAUUUUAAUAAAAUGAGAAAUGAGAUCUUCAGGAGUUGCUUACAACAUUGUAAAAUUCACUCGCAAAUCGUAUGCGUUUCACCAGUCUUUCAAGCGAGUUGCUUACAAAAUUGUAAUGCGAUCUUCAGGAGUGCAACAUCUUUUUCAUCGAUGUGGCGACGUGCGUGCCGAUUACAUACACAGAGCCCCUGUUACCUGAGGUGUGCCUUUUAGAUUUAUUGUUUUGUGAACCCAGCUAUCUUACAGGAGUAGAUUGAUGUACGAUGUUUAUUUCCUGGUACAGAGAUAGAAAAUACGGCUACACUAGUGGGAAGUGCAUAGAUACAUGAAUGCUUAAUAUAGUAAGCAGACAUUGAUGGUGAGCUAAAAGAAAAUUUAGUAAUUUACUAUGUUAUAUCUUCAUCAUAUAAACUAGUGGUUAAUUUCAUGUGAUAAAUAGUUCAGGUAAGUUUUAUGUUAGGAGUGCGCCAGGUGAACAUCUGAAUAUUGCAGAAUUGAACGCGGAUAGGGUUGAUGUAUCAGAAGUCAAUAAGAGCCUGAUUUGGGUAUCUACCAUCGGAGUUGCUUAUGGACUUUGAUAUGGUCUUUCAUAUAACUAUUAGAGGAAAUAUGCGAUUAUCCUAGUUUAGGGUCUUUUAUAUAACUAGUUUCUGAAGCAGCCGAUAAGAAGGUACAAACAGCCCCACUCCCACCACCGACCCCACCUCCUUUUUUGGUUCCUUGUAGAUUCCAUGAUCAUGAUGCCGAUCUGAAGUUUGAACCGCUUCCUUGCAGAGCUACGCUGAUCGAGGAUGUUAAUGAUAGUGACAUCCUAUGGAGCCCCUACAUUAUCCUUUGGCUGCACCGCCAGCGGGGAUGGGGUAGAAUCAGGCUCCGGCGGAGAGCUUCAACGGGCAGAUUUGGGUGGAGGAAGCAGCGGUAGCGGAGCAGAGGGAGGAUUCACCGCAGGCUUCAGCACAGUUGGUAGGGAAGCUGGAUCCAAGAGCUUUAGGGUGGUCACGCAGGGGUUAGAGUGGGAGCUGCUGCUCCGGGGCGAACACCAUGUCCGAACCGCAGAAGUGCCUUGGAGAAGGCUUUCCAUGGUUAUGUGGUGAAUCCUGGUGAAAAUGUCAUAGUUUUGACGUUGGGGACAAGCUUGAUAAUGUUCCAUAUGGAUAGACAAGCUCUGUUGACCUGUGGCUACUGCUGAAUGUUCUUAUGGUUGGCUAACCUUGUCAGUGCAGGGUCGGCCGCUGAUACACGCGGCAAUGUUUGAGCAAAUUGGCCUUAUUUUCUUGUGUCCCUGCUUCCGAAAACUAGUGCGGAACCGGUACAAGAACUAUGGUGUCAAGUGUCACCAUCGAAACAACUGCACCGAAGCUCCCGAAAUAAGACACCCAGAAGUCUGAUUGAGGUCGCUGGUAAGAGGAUAAGAGUUGGACAACUGUUUUCCUGUGAUGUGUGCACUGGUUAUGUACUGACUUGUUCAGUAAACCUUCUUAUGUGUGAUUGCUUUUACAUGUGCUGUACUACUAGCUGGUUUGAUAAUUAUCCUAUGUGAGCUUUAGAUGGAGCUGUAUUAUGUGUAUCAUUGAAGUACUGGUAAAGAGUGUGAUGCUGUCAUCUGAAACAGAACUUGCUUGAUGCAUAUUUGAAAAUGAGCUCAAAAUUCUUGAGUUAGCACCUAUGGAA